UGCACCGUGCCAGCUGCCUUAGGCUCAAACCUGCCGCUGGGGAGAGAAGCAGCUUCCACUGGGAUGCAGCCACCGGGAUCAGGAGACAAGCUGACAUUUGGACGGGCAAAGCCACCACCUGCGGGGCCAGAGUCUAGCAGAAAACCAAGGAUUGUUCAAGGCCUUGGGUCGGGCUUGCCCAAUCAUGCGACUUGGCACCCCAGCACCCCCUCCGCUCCUUCCGCCCCCUCCCAUUUCAACAGCCCGGGCUGCAGUGAGACGGGCAGCCUGAUAAAAAGGAGGGCAGGGCCUGGAGAGCCGGUCACACAGCUGGGGACUGUCACCAAGCCAACACCAUGGCGUCGUGCGUGGCCUGGACAGGUGAGGGGACACUGUCAGGGGGGCUGGGCUGUGCCCCAGAAGCUGUGGGGUGGUGGCGGGGUUACGUUAGGUGGCUCCUUGGUGCUGUCUGCGAGGAAGCAGGAACGCUAGGAGACCGGGGGAGCAUCCUCCCGCCUCACCCUCUGCCUCCUGGCCGGCAGUCCCUCGACGGCUGUCCCUGUGGGUUCACUGUGGGCUC